rnacentral:rRNA from 1 species
AUUGAACGCUGGCGGCAGGCCUAACACAUGCCAGUCGAACGGUAACAGGAAGCAGCUUGCUGCUUCGCUGACGAGUGGCGGACGGGUGAGUAAUGUCUGGGAAGCUGCCUGAUGGAGGGGGAUAACUACUGGAAACGGUAGCUAAUACCGCAUAAUGUCGCAAGACCAAAGAGGGGGACCUUCGGGCCUCUUGCCAUCGGAUGUGCUCAGAUGGGAUUAGCUUGUUGGUGGGGUAACGGCUCACCAAGGCGACGAUCCCUAGCUGGUCUGAGAGGAUGACCAGCCACACUGGAACUGAGACACGGUCCAGACUCCUACGGGAGGCAGCAGUGGGGAAUAUUGCACAAUGGGCGCAAGCCUGAUGCAGCCAUGCCGCGUGUAUGAAGAAGGCCUUCGGGUUGUAAAGUACUUUCAGCGGGGAGGAAGGGAGUAAAGUUAAUACCUUUGCUCAUUGACGUUACCCGCAGAAGAAGCACCGGCUAACUCCGUG